rnacentral:lncRNA from 1 species
AAAAAAAAAUUUUCUAAACUUAUCUUUCUAUUUGCCUCCUCUAAUUCAUUACUCCUGUGAGUCUCUUCCUGCCCUUUAUCCCCUAGCCUGCAUUUUCUCUUUUAUCUUAGCCUAACAUCCUAUUUUUAUAUUCUCUACUUUUAUGUCCAAUCCCUCUACAUUCUCCACAUCAAACAUACCUCUAUUCAUAAAGCACCGUUUGGCUCAAAUGACAUCAUCUUUCAUCUUCUAAAAUAAUUUCAUCAAGGAAUUUUCCAUGUAAAUCCAUCUCAAUUAAUAUCCUUUCAUAAUUGAUUGAUAAACAAAGGCAUCUCAAUCACAUUGCCCACUCCACUCAACAGUUCUUUCCACCAAAAUUCCCAAGGAAGGCUUGGAAAUUGGACCUAAAUGGCAAUUUCUGAAUUGAUUCGAAAUCCAUUUUAGCCUAGGUUUCAUUGCAACAACACCAAAGGUCUUCUAUCAAAAGUAUUGGGUCCUUCAGCACUAAAUCCCUUCCUCCUUCUGAAUCAAAAGUAAAUAGAAAAAUAUUUGCAUUAACUAGAUAAACAGAAAUAAGCCCAUACCUCUUCCACUUACCCAUCACAAAAUUCAAAAUCCCUUGAAAUAUAGGAUUCAUUCCACAUAUACUACCUGUAAGAGCAUUCCCCUAACAAUGAACUUCUGAUUGCAGCUCCUCUGUACUGAAUUUCACCACUUUUUCCCCAUCAGUCACCACCGGAUGCACAUAGGCGAGUUCACAUUCUAGAAUCCUUUAUCUGUCCUUAGCCACCGAAUUUGGUCACCUCUUAUGCCUCUAUGUGUUAGUGUUCAUAUCUUCCUCAAUUGACUCAUUCAAUCUCCUCUAGUUACUGGGAACCAUCCCCACGUCAGAUCCUUCCCCAUCUGCGCAUUAUGUUCAUUUGCAUCGUCUUCCUGGUUUAACUUCUCUCAUAAGUAAUAUUAUUAUUAGUCUAAAUCAGAAAUAUGUAUGCACAUCCUAUAUAGAUUUUAAAAUCGAAAGUUGAUGUUCUCGAUUAUCGUCUAAAAUACUAAUGUAUUAUGUUAAGAUUUAUGUCUUAAAUUACUUAUAGUUUAAAAUUUUAAAAAUUUUAUAAUUGAUAUCAUGAAACAUCAACUCAUAUACUAUAUAUCAACGUAUGAUUUAAAAAUAAUUAACAAUUCAUAAAAUAAAAUAACAUAUUAUCUAAAAUUAUAAAACGAUAAAAGAUAAUAUUACUCAUUAUAAAAUCAUACACAGUAGUAUCAACAAACUAUAUGGAUAACAAUGAUUUUCAAAAAAAAAUACUAUUUACGUUUAAUAUAAACUUGAGAUACAGUUAUAAAAAAUUUAAGAUAUACUAACUUCCACCGGAAAUGAAAAUCAAUAUGUAGAAACACCUACCACCCAAGGUUUCCUAAUGACUUUAUUUCCCCAAAACUUUACUACAGUGUCCACCGUCCCUCUGCCAAUAACCUAACCCCAUUAAACACUAUUCCAUAAAUCUCGUUGAAUAAUCAGGACCUCAAACUAUGUCACUUUAGCUACAACAAAUUAUGAUGUGAAUGAACCAGAUCAUGCAGUAGCGAGGCCUCGUACUAGGGGCAUCUAAGAAUCUAUCACAGGUUUUGACUCCUAGCUAAGCACCAACUCUUACCUUUGUAUCCGAAGUUGAGAACAAUGAACUAGUAGUAGGAACACAAGGAGCUAUAAGGAAGAGAGAUGAUGAUGUAACCAGGGAACCACUAAGUCCUGAAGUCACGUGGUGAGAAGUUUUAUAGAGGAAGAUGUUGAUAUAAAUAGGAGCACCACGUUGUGCGGAUAUGGAAUGGGGAGUAGGGAAAAAGGAACUAGCUUUAAGUCUCCUGUAAGUUCUAGAAAGCUUGAGGCAAAAGAAGAGGAAGUAGAUAAAAAUCUGGAAAGGUUGAAAGAAGAGUUAUUGGUUAAAUCCAAGUAGGAAUCUAAACCAGCUUGAGAACCUCCUUACUUUUUACAAACUGUAUCCAAGAAAAAAUUAUCCUUAAAAAGUUCUUGAUGCCAACCAUUGCUGCUUAUGAUAGCACUAGAAACCCCAAGGAUCACGUUAUCAACUAUAAAAUGUUACUGCAGAUUUACUCAGAUACCUUGUUGUGUAAGGAGUUUUCCACCACCUUGACCGAAAUGAUCUUGACUUGCUAUAGCAAUCUAUAAGCCAAAAGUAUCAAAACUUUCAUAAACAUAGCCAAUGCUUUUAUGGAAAAAUUUAUAACCAGUGUGCCACCCUAAAGGAAGACAAGUAUCAAGGUGUAAUCCUUGAAUAUCAUUGUCUAACAGAAAUUCAAGCGCUUAGAGGAACUGAUCCUCCUUUGUUGAUAAGAGAUAUUAUAACAGACUUAUUGAAAUUUGCCACUAGGUGUGUAACCAUUAUUUUUAGCCAUUUCAAUAGGAAGAGAAAUCAAGUAGCUCAUUGUUUAGCUAGAAAAGCUCUCUUUGAUACUGGUUUUCUCUAUUAAAUUUUAUACUCUUCUCUUUAGCCUUUGAGAAAUGAUUAAUAAAAUUUCUCCAGAAAAAAAAAAAGUGAAUAAUUAAAAUUAAAUUUAUAAUUAUCAAUCUCUUCCUUCAUUUUAGAAAUAUAGAAUAAAUUUUAUUUUUUAAUUAUUCAAAAUCUAUGAUAAAUUUUUUUUUAAAAAAAUACAUUUGUAAAUUGAUUAGUGAUAUAUUAAAAGAAAUCAUUACUAUUUGUCAAAGGCUAAAUAUGUAAUUUGACAGUCGAACUUUAUUCAAAAAGUCAACUGACACUUUAAGCUUUUUUUUUUUUUUCUUUUUGUUAACUUUUUGACAGUGGCUUCUAUGAUUAUUUUAUUUAAAAUAAAAGAACAAUUACUUUAUCAUGUAAAUUAAUAUUUUAUAUUUUACUUUUAAUUUUUUAUAAAAUGAAUUAAUUUUUCAUAAUCAACAAUAUUAUAGAAAUUAUUUGAAGGUAACAGAAAAUAAAAUAAUUCUAAUAAAAAUAAUAUAAGCAUAAUAUUUUCUCACAAAAUAUUUAAAAAUUGAAAUCUAUAAUAUUUAUAUUAGAGAUUUUAUAAAUUUAUAUGCAAUGCUAUACAUUUCUGUAAAAUAAUUAUUUUAUGAAAUAUUAAAUUAAUAAAAAAAUAAUAUAUUUUCAAAAAUAUAAAGAUAUGAUAUUACCUUUUUAUAAAUAAUUAAAUAAAAUAUUAUUUUAGUUAUUAAUAAUGUUAUUAAUAUAAUAUAAUUUUUAUUAAAUUAAUUUAUAUAAAAACAUAUUUAUUUAUUUAAAACAUCAAUUUUUUAUUUUAAUAUAUAUUUCUACUUAUAAAUAAAGUAUUUUAUGUAAAUUUAUAAUAGAAAAUACAAUUUGUAUAAAAUAUAAUUUAUUUUUGUAAUAGAUUAAAUUUACUUUAUUUUAAACUAAAUAACUAUAGAAUUCUCUUUUUGAUAAAAAAAAUUCAAAUUAUUUUAUAAUCAAUAUUCAAGAACUUUCUUAUACAUAUAAAAAUUAUAGAUGGAUUGUGGAAUAUUCAAGAACUUACUUAUACAUAUAAAAAUUAUUUUUUUAAUCUAAAUUUAGAGUUAUUUAUUUUGAAUUUUGAUCGUCAUGAUUCAUGAUAGUGAAGGAUCGGCGCAACUGAGAUAUAAUAGGAAAAACUCUACAGUCGAGGAUUUGUUAUCCAUAUUUGAGUUCAUGUGCUGAGAAAUAACCCACUUACCAAAUAUAUUUACUGACAGAUUAUGCUUUGAAAAUUCCUUGAUUAAAGCUCAUGAUCUAGAAAAGGAAAAAGAAUCCCCCAGGCUGGGUUGCUUUCCUAUGACUUGUUAGCCAAUUGAACAUUAAAUCACUGCUUCAUGGCUCCUCCAAUGUGCCAUUUGAAUACUCUUCACCUGCAAUUCCAGGUGUUCCAUUUGAUAACCGAUUUGUGCUGGAGGAAUUUGAAUGAGGAGAGUAUGUGGAAACAGGGCUGCCUCGUGAAUACCGGUUCUGGGCAGCUGUGCUACUUCUGGUUGCCUUGAGUCGAGCCUUCCUACCCUGCAGUGGGAGUCCAAAAGCUAAUUAAUGAUGGAAAAGAGAUGCGUCAAAAAAAAAAAAAGGGAAAAAGAACUGUUGCAUAAAACAGAAGUAGAGUGUUUUUACACAAAAUGGCAUUUGAAGAAUUCGGCUGACUUAUAAUAUCAAUGAGAAUAAUUACACAAAUUAUAAGAGCGCACAUCAUGGCCCUUGACAGAAAAACAAAUAAGCUAUCAUGACAAAAUGGUAAGACACCCUUGCAUCUUAACAAUAAAGAGGAUAACCUUUCCCAUGCACUUUUCCAAAUGAGGAGCAAACCUUCCAGCCAUGAUUGAUCGCCCACAAUUCAUGCACUCAAAUAUUUCAUUUGCAACAGGUGGAUGGGUUUGUCCAAAAAUGUCGACCACAUACUUGCUAUUUGUUUCACCACUAUUACUAGGAUCAGCUACCCUUACACGGGCUUGUGUUGAUAAUCUUAAUUCUUCUUCCUCUUCCUCCAAGUUGCGAUCGAGUCCCAGUUUUGCUAUCCGGUGACACUCAGAGGCAACAUCAACAAUAAUUGAAUCGAGGAGGUCCCCAAAAAAAUGAGAUGAAAGCUGGACAAAGAACAACAUUGCAUCUAAAGGUAAUUUUAAAUAUACAGUGGAAUACAUAUCCAUACAAAUGAACAUGCAUUUCAAAAGAGGUAUUUCAGAUAGGCUAGAAUUAUUAUUAUUAUGUCAUUAAAAUAGUUAGAAGAAAUCUCAUUUCCACGUGAAGAUUUCAUUCCAGGUCAACGAAAAAACAGCAACCCAAAGCCAACAAAUGUCAUCCGCUUUAAGUAGGCUACAAAAUUGCUGUGUUCUUGUUCUUCCUAUCUGUUUCUCUAAAUUGUUCCUUAGGAAAAAAAUUUAAGAAAAUAAUAUUAAUAAACACAGGAAACUUCAAAAAGUAUGCAACAAAUGAUGCUUCUAACAAGCACAUAAUAUCCUACCUCUUUAGGAAGUAAAAAGAUUUAAAAAAUUCCUUGAACAAAAUUAAACUUGACAUGUAUGCUUCUUCAUUUUUUUCUUUUCUUUGCAUUUCUUAACAAAAUAUACAUAAAAUAGGAAGGAACCCAAUUGAUAGAAGACACCCACUAACCACAAUAUGUGUAUAUUUCACCAGAACUUUUAAAAAUUGAGAUUAGAUAAGAUCAGACAGGUAGCCUUAUUGAAGACUAGAAGAAAAUAAGAAUACCUGGGUAUGAGGAGACAGGUUAUCUUCGUUUGGGCCUGACAUGCCACUUGAGUUUUAAAGACGAAUACUCCCAAGAAACAAAUCAAAUCAUUCAAAUUGACAACUAUCAGACUCGGAUCGAAAUUACUGCUACUUGCAGAUCAAAACCGCUAAUUUUAUCAAGAGAUGAUUUGACAAAGACACUGAGCAGGGGAUUGCCCCUUCUCCAGUUCUGCUGUGAUUCCCACGGGAAAAGGAAAAGUGCGAGGAUCCUGUGUGACACAAUAUUAUAGUAUAAAAACAAAGAACCAAUAAUGACUUCUCCAAUAAGCAAUAGAUUAAGUUCUUGCCUUGCACAUCAAUCAAAUCAUAUGUAAGUUAUGAGAGAAAAGGGUUCUGCCCUAAUUCUAAAACUCACAUCAAGCUGAGUAAUGGAGUAAACAAAGCUCAUUUGUCAAAGACUAAAAUCAAUGAAAGAUAACCAGAUUUUGAGUCAAAGAGGAGAGCUAUUCUUAUUUAUGCAUGCUUAUUAAAAUGAGCGAAUAGUGAUCAAGUCAUAGACCUAGAAAAUUAUCCAAAUCAGUUAAGAAAAGUAAUACAAUUUAUUGAUUUUCCAGAAAAAUCUGUAUACUCCCAUGAGAAAUCUCAGUUAUUCUAGGCUUACACAUCACUUCACAACCUUGGUAGCAUCUAAAAACAACAUAUUAGAAAUCCAAUUAAACAAUAUUUGAAUUAAUGUAGAGAGUGAUCCAGCACGCACUAAGAUUAAUAAACAUAACCAGAUUUUGCAUUCAUUAUACAUAAUUUGUAAUUGGUCCUCACGUAAAUAAGGAAACUAGAAAGCAUUUACCUAAGGAUGAUUGAUUUGGAAUCUGUGGAGCCAGAAUAGUCCUUCUGAUUCCCACCCACUGAUCCUAAAAAAUAAUCAAAUCACAACAUAGAAAUAGCAGAAUCAAACAAUGGGACGCAGCUGAAAUUUCUUAAUUAGACUGAAAAAAGCACUCGAUCGAUACGAGUGUGCGGGCUAUGGAAAACUUGUUAUACGCAGAACUCAGCUUUAAUGCGCAUCACCGAAGCUGUUAUCUGGUAAAGAGGAUAUAUCCUGAUAAGAAUGAGGGCUUAGGGAUUUAGGAUGCUCAAUAAAGUCGGGAAAAGCAAACCAAUGGGAUUGGUGAAGUGACUGAUUGCCGGUGACGACAGAAACAAGGAAAAAUGAUAGAAGAAAUUAUGGAUCAGUGGCAAUCGGUUGGCUCUGCGGGUUUGAAUCGGGUUGCUUUCAGAUGCGGCUUGAUUAUCCAAGUCUGGCUUUGGAUGUCGCCUAGCCUUCUUUGUGCUUGCGGGCUCGACCACAAAGACCCAAAUAGCAACGGUUCCUCUAUUUUCAAAUAUUCGAUUCUGUUGGGUUCUAUUGAAAUAAAUAAAUGAAUUUCGUAUGGUUUUGCAUCAUAAUUUAAUUUUAAUAUUUACAUUUAAAUUAAUUAAAGAUUUAAGUAUGUUUGUUUAAAACAAAGCUACGGUUUGUAUUAAUAAAAUUUUAUCAAAUAAAAAAGAAUAUCAUUCCAAAUAGAGAGACAAUCAUACCUAAUAAAUUCUCUAGCCAAAGUAUGAGCUGCUAGAGUGGCAUGACGACGAACCCAUCUAACAGAAAUAUCAGUUUUGGAGCCUAACAAAUAUUUAUAAUCAUUCAAAAUCAAACUAAGUUCAGAAAUGUGUAAAUGUGGAGACUGAAGAGCUUGAACUACUUGCAAACGGUCCAUAAGAAUGCAGCCAUUAAAAGACAAAAAUUCUGUCGCAAAGAGCAAAUAAUGACAGAGAGUUAAAGUUUUAACAAUUGUCGGCAUACCAUUAUCUUCCGAAAAACAGAAACACCACAUUGAAAUAUACCCUUAGAGUUUUUUACAACAAAACCGUAGCCAAUAAAAUCUUAAACUUGAAACAAAACCCCAUCAACUUGACAAAACCAACUGAAAUUAUCCAAACUUGAAGAUGAUGCACGAAUUUGGAGAGGAAUAGCUUCAGGAUCACGAGCAGGGUUGGAGGAAUAAAACAAGUUCCUGCCCUGGUAUAAAAUAGCAGUUGUAUUUCCUUGCAAAGUACCAGCACAUUGAGCAGCUUUCUAAUCCAAGAUAUGAUGCAUGACGCCUUCCACAAGGUGAGCUGCUGAAUUUUGCACCUAGUUCCAUAAUAAUGAGUUUCUUGUUGACUAUAAUCUCCAUGCAUAGACCAUAACAAAGAUUUUUUGAACCUUGUCUUAUGACUUCAAAAUUUGCAGUGAAAAAUUAAAAAAAUUAUCAUUAGACUGCAAAUCUCUCACUCCUCCUAACCUACAAACUUCUUUGGACACAAGACAAUGCAACAAGAUAUUAUUGACACUUUCAUCUUCAUGACACCAAGGACAUCUAGUAUCCACAUCCACACCCAUUUGUCUUAAGUUAUCCUUUGUAGGCAAUAUAUUUCUACAUGCUCUCCAACAGAAAUCUUUCACUUUUGGAGGGACCGAAAUAUUCCAUAAACUAAUUCAUAACUCAUCCCCCACAUUAAAAGAUGAUCUUUCUAGCAAGUCAUAGAUUUUCUAAUUAAGAACCCAACCGCUACGUACCAAUAGCUAAUGGACAAAACCCAGAAGUACAUCAGGCUGAAUGACGAAGUCCAAGCAUUGAGAGAGGACAAAAGGACAAAUAAAAAAUAAAACCAAAAAUCAGAGAGGCGAGGAUAUGAAGGAGACCGUAGAAGUUAUCCAGUCUCCCGAAGAAGGGAUGACCAAAGUAAGUAUAAGAAUUAUACUCCAUUGAAUGACUCACAAACACGUAUUCUAAUGUGGAUUUGAAAAAACGACAAGGAGGUCAGGUGGUCUCCCAAGCUCAACCCUGAGAGAGCUGAAAGGCGAGAUAGGACUAAGUACUGUUGUUUUCACGAAGACCAUGGACAUACAAUGGAGGAGUGCAGGCAACUGAAAGACAAGAUUGAGAGGUUAAUAAGGGACGACACACUUUGAAAGUUUGCUAGAAAAAAUAGAGAAGGGAGGAGGCUCGAACCCGAGGUAACAACUCCUGAGACUACCCCUAACCGUGAACCUAUAGGGGUUAUACAUGUAAUUGCAGGAGGAUCUAGCAAAAGUAAAGAAAUAAAUGAGUUGCAGAAGAUAUUUUGAAUGUUCAAUAGUAGAGUCAAGUAACGUGUCUUUAAUGUAGGAGACUAAGUCCUUAAAAGAGCAUAUAUAAUAGGAGGUAAUGUCGGGUCUGUUAAGUUGGGUAAAAAUUAGAAAGGACCAUUUAGGGUCCCGAAAGUUAUUCAUCCAGGGUUUUAUAAGCUGGCCAAGUUAGAUGGUCGAGUCAUUCCCCACUCUUGAAAUAUUUGUAAUAUGUGAAAAUUUUUUAUCAAUAAUAGAUAACAAUGUAUUUUGCAUGUGUUGUAUUAUUUAGUGACAAGGAACGAUGGGGUUAUCUUCUUCACAAAGAUUAAAGAGCUUUCAUUAAAGGUCACGAGGUAGGUAUCCGUCGGGGCACCUAAUCUAAGUUUUAGUCUCACUGAAUAAGGCAUCUUAUGCCAGGCCAUAAAGUGGAUAUCCAUUAGGCCACUUAAUCCGGGUGUUAGUCCCGCUAAACAAGAAAUCUUAUGCCAGGCCAAAAGGCGGGUAUCCGUUAAGCCAUCUAAUCCGAGUGUUAGUCCCGCUAAACAAGGCAUCUUAUGCUAGGCCACAAGGCGAGUAUUCGUUAGGUCACCUAAUCUGGGUGUUAGUCGUACUAAAUAAGGCAUCUUAUGCCAGGCCACAAAGGGGUAUUCACCAGGCCACUUAAUCCUAGUGUUAGUUCCGCUACACAAGGCAUAUUAUGCCAGGUCACAAGGUGGGUAUCCAUCAGGCCAUUUAAAUUCUCGAGGACUGACUUUGAAACGUUUGCCUAUUCCAGGUCCGCCUGGAGCUUGUUCAUAGAUUCCAGUGUCUCUUUCAUAAUCCAAGCCUUCAGCCUCUAGCACUCUUCUCGUAGGAGACUUUUAUCCGUCUCCUAUGCCCCAAACUCUCACUUCAGAGCCUUGAUCCGCUCUCUGGCCAUGUAUGUGCACAGAGCGCUCUUCAUCGCAGAGUGGAUGAUGUUGUCAUAGAAAUCGUCUGUCUUGAUAGCAUUCAAGUGAUUAUGAUCUCUAGGCCGCAGAGCAUUCUUAGCUAUUAGGACAGACAACCAGGGCUUCUCGAGAAGAGAGAUUGUCCGAGUCAGCGCCAACGCCAGGUGUUGAUGCCCCGAGGCCACAAGACUUCUGCUUCAGCCCUUCCUUGUGAAGUUUCGGCUUAGCAAGGAACUACUUCAGGGUCGCCCCUCGUAGAAGGCUUGGGUUGAGUGGGGACUAGUUCCUCAGCUGCAGGAGGAGGAAGGGGAGGAGGUAGAGUGAUCAUCUCCUCAGCAUGACGAGCACGCUUAGGUGGAGGUGCGGUCGCUCCGGCAAUAGCCUUGUCUUUCCGGACAGCUUCAACAAAUUUGGCUUUUGAUUUAGCCAUGUCUACAUAAAACAAAAAGUGAGUAAGUAAGGUAGUUUGAAAUACAAAAAGAGUUAGAAAGAGAAAUACCCUACUCACUAAUGUAACGACCCCAAAAUGGACCGUCACCGGCGCUAGGAUUCAGGUCGGCUUAAGGCCGCCAGAACCCGUAGCAAGCCUUCUAUACUCUCUGUGUACCUGUAAAUCUCAUACAUGAUCAUACAUUUUCUGUGAAAAUAAAAAAACUCUGCUCUGAACCAAGGCUUAACCUGUGCAUGCACUAUCUCUGUACUCUGUACUCUGUACUCUGUACUCUGUACCCCUGACUAGAGCUUGCUCUAGAUGGGUUAACUCUGUCACAUUCCAAAACCUACAGAUAGAAAUAGAGCAACCAUUAGCUUUAAAUUGUAUCAUUCCAAGUUAGAGUAACUAGCUUCAGGGAAGGUGCUAGCUUAACCUCGAGCUAAUUAGGGGAGGUGUUAGCUUAUCCAUAGCCAUUUGACACACAAUAAGUUAUUUUAUAGACGGGUAAGGGGUGUUACAAACUCAUACCUGUUAAGCCUGUUUCUGGGACUGGCAGGUUACUAUAGGAGGUUCGUUCAGGAUUUCUCGAAGAUAGCUGCUCCUAUGACCAAACUGACUCAGAAGAACCAGAAGUUUAUCUGGUCAGACCAGUGUGAAGAGAGCUUUGAGGAGCUCAAGAGGAGAUUGACAUCAGCACCAGUGCUAGCUCUGCCUGUUAGUGACGAGGAUUUCACAGUGUUCUGUGAUGCGUCUCGAGUGGGAUUGGGUUGUGUUUUGAUGCAGCAGGAUAGGGUGAUUGCUUAUGCUUCUAGACAGUUGAAGAAGCACGAGUUGAAUUACCCCACCCAUGACCUAGAGAUGGCAGCAGUUAUCUUUGCACUCAAGAUGUGGAGGCAUUACCUCUAUGGGGUUAAAUGCGAGAUCUUCACUGAUCACAAGAGUUUACAGUACAUCUUGAGCCAGAGAGAGUUGAAUAUGAGGCAGAGAAGAUGGGUAGAAUUGCUCAGUGAUUAUGAUUGUACGAUCCAGUAUAAUUCGGGUACGGCGAAUGUGGUGGCAGACGCCUUAAGCCGGAAGUCACUAGGCAGUUUAUCCCAUAUAGCAGUAGAGCGGAGACCAGUAGUGAUGGAGCUUUACAAGCUCAUUGAGGAAGGGUUACAGUUAGAAUUGUCUGGUACAGGUGCGUUGAUAGCACAGAUGAGAGUGACACCUGUGUUUUUGGAGCAGAUAGCUCAGAAACAGCAUGAGGACCCUGAGUUGAUGAAAAUUGUCAGGACUGUUCAGUCAGGCAACAGUGUAGAGUUCAGAUUUGACAGCAAAGGGAUCCUUCGCCAUGGGAGUCAACUUUGUGUACCAGAUAGUAGCAGUUUGAAGGAAGACAUUAUGAGGGAAGCUCAUAAUGCGAGGUAUAGUGUUCACCCAGGAGCCACCAAGAUGUAUCAGGAUCUGAAGAGGGUAUAUUGGUGGCCAGCCAUGAAGAAAGAAGUGGCGCAGUUCGUGACAGCCUGUGAGGUUUGUCAGAAGGUGAAACUGGAACAUCAGAAGCCGGCUGGAAUGCUUAACCCACUGCCGAUUCCAGAAUGGAAAUGGGAGAACAUAGCUAUGGAUUUUGUAGUGGGCUUACCGGCAGUGUCCAACAGGAUAGACUCUAUAUGGGUGAUUGUGGACAGACUCACAAAAUCUGCUCAUUUCAUUCCCGUUAGAAGUAACUAUUAUGUGGAUAAGUUGGCACAGGUAUAUCUGGAUGAGAUAGUGAGAUUGCAUGGAGUUCCAGUGUCUAUAGUCUCAGACAGAGGACCUCAGUUCACCUCCAGAUUUUGGCGAAGUCUGUAGAGUGCACUGGGCACAAGAUUGGAUUUUAGCACUGCUUUCCAUCCGCAGACUGAUGGAUAGUCAGAGAGGACCAUCCAGACCAUAGAGGAUAUGCUCAGAAUGUGUGUGUUAGACUUUGGCGGUUCUUGGAGGCAGCAUCUACCUCUGGUGGAGUUUGCCUACAAUAACAGCCAUCAUGCUAGCAUAGGGAUGGCUCCUUAUGAAGCAUUAUAUGGGAGGAAGUGCAUAUCACCUGUUUGCUGGGAAGAGGUAGGAGAGAAGGCUCUUGCAGGGCCAGAGUUGGUAGAGAUUACCAGUAGAACAGUGCCCAUGAUCAGAGAGAGGAUCAGAACAGCUCAGAGUAGACACAAAAGCUAUGCGGACGUUCGCAGGAAACUGUUAGAAUUUCAGGAGGGUAAUUGGGUAUUGCUAAAAGUGUCUCCAAUGAAAGGAGUGGUUCGUUUUGGGAAGAAGGGUAAGUUAGCUCCACGGUACAUUGGACCCUUUGAGAUUUUACAGAGGAUCAGAAAUGUGUCAUAUAAGCUGGCUUUACCUACUUCUAUGGAGAGAAUUCACCCGAUAUUUCAUGUUUCUAUGCUACGGCAGUUUGUAUCAGAUCCGAAGCAGGUUCUAAGUGCACCUGAUGUGGAGGUCCUUGGAGAUCUCACAUAUAUAGAGCAGCCAGUGCGGAUUCUUGACACACACCCACACCAACAUAUAACUAUGCAAUGCAACAUAUUCGUGGAUUCUAAUGCAAUCAACCUACUGCAUAACCAUGAUGCAUGAAAUAUGCUAAAAACAUUCCAUUUCUCAAUUAAAAGAAUUAAGUUUAGUUCCACUCACCUCUGGCUCUUUGGACUGACUCUGCAGGCUCUAUACACUCUAGAGCAGUACUCACUGCUGCUCUCUCUGGUUCCUCUGGUCUGUGCCUACACAGAUGGACUCAAAUGAGGGACCAAACUAGCUUAUGAAUAACUCUAUUAACCUCCCCAAGAAUCCCCUUAAACUCACUCAAAUAUCCCUGAAAAGCAUGCAAAGGAAGGCUGGACAGGACACUUUCGGCGGCAGGUUCGGCGGCCGAAAGUCCUCUCCAGAGCCGAAACUCAUGCACCUUCGGCGGCCGAAUCUCUACUUUCGGCAGCCGAACCCUUGCGGGGGCAAGUUUCGGGGGCUGAAAGGCAUUCCAGAGACGAAAGUCUCUAACCUUCGGCGGCACCUUCGGCGGCCGAACCUCCCCUCCAGAGCCGAAAGUCUAAAGGCUCGGGGGCAAGCUUAGGCAAUCGAAGCCACCUCCUCAGCACAUUCGGCCGCCGAACCUUUCUUCGGCGGCCGAACCUGGAUUCAUCAGCAAGGCAGAACCUUGCUCUGCCUCAUGCCAAAAUGCACCAAUCUUCCUCCAACUCAAACACCUCAAUUCCUCAACAUGCAUACACCCAAGUAUAUGCUCAAAGGGGUCAGAAACUACCUUAAAACCCCAACAACACAAAAUAUAUAACACAUAAACAUGCUUUUAUCAACAAAACACCCAAAACCUCACUUUUUACCCUAUUCAUGCAACUCUACUCAAAACCUUCUAAAACCUUCAGAAAACAUGAAAACAAGCUCAGGAUCUUCACUUACCUCUUGAAAACAAGAAGAUGAACGAUCCCAACGUGGAGUUUUGGAGCAACUCUCCUUCAAACUCUCCAAACUUCACAACUUUGUGUUUUUUUGCUCAAAACCUUCAAAAAACCAUAAAAAUCAAUCAAAUCUUUGCAUGAUGUAAUGACAACAUGAAGAAAACUAAAGAAGGACAGGGUCUCACCUCAGAAAGUGAAAGAAACGGCAAGCCUUAUCCUUUCAACCGACUGAGGGCCUUUUAUAGGUGGUUGGCCAAACCACCUUCGGCGGCCUAUCGUGAAACCGAAAGCCAUGCAUGUUCGGCGGCCGAAUGUCACCUUCGGCGGUCGAACCUGGCUUUUCUGCCUUGGUUCUUUUCUUUCAAAAACUCUUUUCAUUUUAACUUCAAAACCUUAAAACAGACUACAUUACUUUAGAAAACCAAAAAUCUUACCCUCUAAAGAUGCCGACAUCCUAGAUUCUACCGGACGACAAGAAUUCCAAUAUCGGACUCUCGCCGGGUAUUACAGCUAACUAGAGAGGUGCUUUCCCCGAGAUAGAGAAGGCUGGGUGGGUGAGGAUCCUGAGCCUAGCAUGCCUAAAGAUGGCUCUACCAAGAUAAAAUAGCAUUCUUCACUGCCUGGAUGAUGUUUAUUUUCUGAGACGUUGCCAUCGUUUGGAGGAAGUCCAAGGCCUAUUCCUCACUCCUUCGGGGUUGGACCCAUCCUUUCUCAGUUUCACAUAUAUGUUCUAGGUAGUAUAGAUGGGACCAAAACCCCCAGACACCCGAUGGCGAAAAAUAAAAAAUUUAUUCUUCCAGUGUUUCAAAUAUGAGGGGAUCCGGUCAAAGAGUUAUAAUGUUUUCUUCCGCUAAAGAAUUAGAACUCCUCAUAGUUUUGUGUACCUAGCUGGCACAUUUGGGAGAAAAGCGCCACAUUUGGCUCAAUGUUGUUAUUAAAACAAAUAAACCAGAAGGCCACCAAAAUCCUCCGGCUGUUGGGAUGCAGUUGGGUGAUUGAAAACUUGUGAAAUCGGAGGAUCUCAGUAAAAAAUGAGUCUAUGGAGAACCGAAGACCCGCCUUCAGUUGCUCUUCAUACACCAUGAUAGUAUCUGUCGUAGUGAUCUGUUCAUCUACAUGAACGCUCGAAAAUGGAGCGAAGACGCAAAAGAUUUCUCGAGAGAUGUGGUAUUUAUCGUGAAGAUAUUCUAUGUCUUUUUUAGUUAAUAUAGAAGGGAUGUCGCUAAUUAGACUGUCUUCACUUUCAUGGACCACCCUCAGCAAAAUAAUGUGAGUUGGAGUAUGAAUGGAGCCGUCGGAGGAGUUUCAAGCAAAACUUCCACCAGGGGAAGAAGGAGGCAAAGAAGAAAUACUCUUAUUCAUUUUUAUAAAAGGGAAAGCAAGAAAGAAUUAUCUUGAAACAAGGAGAAGUGAAUAAGAGAAGUGGUCGAGACUUUUCUAAAGCACAUAACUCAGUUGUAAGCAAAAAUGGUAUCUAGAGGAGAAUUAGGAUUCUUAUAUGACAUUUUCGAUGACAGAUUUUGAAUGCCGCUCGAAGAUUAAAACCGUCAUCAUUUAUGGACAGGAGUAGACAAAGCGACGUGAGCAGAGAAACACCAAUCUAGAUGAGUCAUAUGCCCCAGAUCGUGAAGACAAUUAUCACAUUCGAAUAUGAAGAAUUCAAGACCAGUAGGGGGUCUCUAAUCUAACACAACAAUUGCCCAAGGUAAGUCAUAAGCUGUCACUAUAUAAUAGGGUCAUGUGGCAAAAGUCUGAUAAGCUGAUAUACAGUCCCACCCGUAGAAAGGUAGACACAGAUACCGUAUCAUUUGGUUCUUUAUCAAAACUCGCCCUCCCCUGUAAAAGUCGAGUCUACACAUAAAAUUAUCGUUAGCAGAUCCUUGUUACAACUGUAAUUACGAUAUCUCUGAUCAAUUAGUCGAUACCAGCUAAAUUUUCAGAAAAUACUAUAAAUAUCUCCAUCUUUUUACAGUAUAAAAAAUUAAUGAUCUCAGAGACAAACGUACGCAAUUCUUAAGCAAUUAUUCUUAAAUUCUAUACAAUUCGUUACAUACGCUUUUUUUUAUUUUUUUAUUUUUCAGUUUAUUAAUUUGAACAUCAAAAUAGGUACCACAGACGCCAACCACCUCAUGUUUUUUCUUUUAUAAAUUGACCAAUUACAAUAUAACAUCAUUUUGGUUACAUCACUAUUGUUAUUUAAUUUUUUUAAUUUAAUUAUUUAAUUAUAUUAAUAUUUUAUUUAAAUUCAAAUUAUGAAAAAAUCACUCAAUAUUUAAAUUAUAGUCAAUUAAAUUUUAUCAUAAAAGAAUUUUCUUAAUAUUUAAAUUAUUUGAAUUAAAAUUUAAUUUUUUUAAAAAAUAAUUACAAUUUGUUUUUAAAAAUUUUUAAUUUAAUUAUUUAAUUAUAUUAAGAAGAAUAAUAAUAAGAUUACUUAAAAUACUCGCAAUUGCAUUCAUUUUAAAUUAUCUUUAUUUUGAUUGAUUAAAGGAUAUUGAAUAAUUUAUUAUUAUUUAAAAUUUUUAAUUUAAUUAAUUUUUUUAUUUAAAUUUAAUUAUAAAAUAAAAUAACAUUUAUCUAUUAUAAUUUUUGCUAUCUAUAUUAAAUCAAUUCAUAUAAAUUUUAUCAUUAUCUUUAUAUAUUAAUCUUUAUCUUUAUAAGGCUUUUAUAUAUAACUAUUCAAAAAAAAAUAUUAUAUUUAAUUAUUACUAUUCUUUCUAUUUUUCUGGAAUUUAACAGAAAUUGAAUAUAUAUUUUAGUACUUUUUAGACUUAAAAUGAACUGAGGAAUAUGAGAAUCUUACAUUUUUAGUGAUAUUUAAAAAUAAUCUUAAUUAGUUUUCUUAAUUUUCUUCAAAUUAUUAAAAUAAAUAAUUUUAUAAUAAAUAAUAUAAAAAAGAAAAAUAUCCAAAAUUUACUUAAAUUUUAUUGAUGUAGUUACUUUUAUACAUAAUUCUAAUUAAAAGUCUACCUGGAUUACAUUUAAUAAAAAAUAAUAAUUUUUAUUAGAUAAAUAAUCAAAAUUUUAUUUUUAAAAUUAAUAAAUUUUAUCUUUUUAAUAUAUAUCAGGAACUGACCUAAUUUUUGAGAGAUGGAUGAAAAAGAAAAGAAAAGAAAAAGAAAAAAAUCGCAGGUAUUUCUCCAGUCUAGGCUACCCCAGCGGAAAGUCGAUUACAGAUAUCGACUCUUCUUCUCUUACUCUCAAACUGAGAUAUUUGUAUAGUGGAAGCCAUGGACGUGCUUUUGCUCUCUUCACCACCAACCCCACACUUAUCUUCCUCUCUCAGACCCUCUCUUCGUUCCUCUAAACCCUCUCCUCUUCCUUUCACUUUCAAUCCAGUCUCUUCUCCCCUCAAAUGUUUCCCAUCUCUCAAAACCUCCCUUCAAUCUUCUCAAACCCUAACUCCUCAAUUCUCGGCUCCCCAGACACCCGCGACCGCCAUGAGGGGAGCGGAGACCGAUGCCAUGGGGCUUUUGCUUAGGGAGAGGAUUGUGUUCUUGGGGAACAAUAUCGAUGAUUUUGUGGCUGAUGCUAUUAUCAGUCAAUUGUUGCUUUUGGAUGCUCAAGACCCAACUAAAGAUAUUCGCCUCUUUAUCAAUUGUCCUGGAGGCUCUCUCAGGUAAAUGCUUCUGCUCUUUUUCCCCCCUCUAAUUUUAAUUAAAGAUGUUUACUUUCGAAGCCUGAGCCAAAACAAAUUAGUGGGAUUUUGUUCUAUUCCAUCUUCCAAAGCUAAAUUGUGACUGCAUUGUGUGUACAAGAGCUUCCGGAAGUUCUUCAGAGAUAAUGGUGUAUGCCCUGUAUAUGCUAGACUGGUAAUUGGGAUUUGAGAUCAGAAGUUUUUCUUUUUUUUCAUUAAUUGGUAACUUUAUUUGAAGAAUUUUUUUGAAGUAAACAUCUGAAAUCUUGUUCUGAGGAGCUGCCAUUUCUGUUUAAAGUAGUGUGGAGUUCAUGGGGUUGCCAGAAGUAUUCUUUUUUCCUCAUGUUGAUAUUUACAUUUUGAAAGAUGUUUAAACAUUUGAUGGAAGGAAUAAAUGUCUUUUACAUGGUUUUUUAUUUUUUUUCAUUGAAGAAGGUGCUGAUUUAGUGGAUCAUCUUCUUAGCCCCUUCUUGCUAGGAGGCUGUGGUGUUGAAGACUAUCCCUUUUCUAUAUAAGGAACUAUUUUUGGAGUUUGUAAAAUGUCUAACCUGUUGUCAAGUUGAGAUUUGAUCAUGCUAUAGUGAAGUUUGUGAAUUGAGAAUUUGCUGGGUCUUGGAGUGAGAAAAACGUUUUAUUGGUGAGAUCAAGUAUGAUUUUUGAGGAGCUUGUUUUCUUAGUCUUACACCACCUCUAAAGCCCUUUUUACAAAGACUUAAAGGAAUCUAGGUCUCAGCUUCAUUUUCUGUUGUUUUCUUAUUUGUUUUACUUUUUAAACGGGCAGUUCUCCAAGUGACUUCACCAAGCCAUGCGAUGGUUAUUAAAAGUUCAAGGUGCACCAACAAAAAAAGUCAUGGCCUAACUCUCCCUAAAAGCUAGUUUAAAAGCUAGUUUAAGGGGCUCUUAUACACUUUACCCUAUCCCAAACCGAUGUUGGAUUUAACACGUCCCCACGCCCAUAACUAUACUAGAGUAUGAAACAUUUACAAGGAAACAUUUAUGGGAGGCCCAGCGUCAAUUUGGAUCAGGUUUAACUCACCCAAAAGCUAACUCAAAAGAGGAUUGCCUAACCUCUUAUAAAGUGCACAUUACCCCUAUUUCAAAUCGACCGACUUUGAAAUUCAACAAAUACAAAGUGACUCCAUUCCUUACCUACAUAGAUGAGAAUACCUCGAGCCAAAGAAUCAAGCAAAGAUAACUUGAGGAGUGCUCUAAUUAUUGAGUUCUAUUAUCCUUUUGGGGCUAGAUAGUAUUUUGUUGUUUGCAAAAUAAUAACUCAACAACAUUGACCAAUGAUUGCGCCAGUUUAUGAGUAUCAGUGUAGCUGCCAUGUUAGAGGGUUUUUGGCUUAGCUUAUAAACAUUGACUUGUUAUAAGCCUUAUGUGUUUGGUUAAAAUGCUUAUAAGUGGCAAAUAAACAGUAGACAUGUUUGGUAAUAAAUAGUUUAUCAGCAUAUUUAUUAUUAAAAUUACUAAAAAGGAUAUUAAAAAAUAUACGUGGUGGAGUUUUAAAAUUAAAUAAGAGCAAUAUAAUAAUUUGCUUGGUUAAAUCAGGUUAUAAGUUUUAUGCUUAUAAACACUAAAAUGAAAAGUUGAUAACCCCCAUCUUAUCUUUUUUAAGCCUAUAAGCUGAACUUAUAGGCCCAUAAAAUGUUAUAAAACAAACACGUUAUCUAAUUAGAGCUUAUAAACUAGUUUGAUCAGCUUUUAAGCUUAGACAAAUUCCUCUUUAGUCUUACUAAGUGACAUGUUUAGAGAUAACAUUUUGGUUACUUAUUAGACUGAAGAUGGAGGGUUCCAUGGUUAGAUAAGGAUCUGCUAAUAAAUACUAGGAUAAUUUUAUUUGCAAAAACAAAAUGGAGAAUUUUUUUUUUAAAUUUUUUGAAUGUAGUUCUCAUUUGUUUUUAUUGGCGUUUUUCUAGGACUUCAUAUUUUGAGGAAUGAAACUCCCAAAUAAAUUGUUAACUAGGAAGUUGCACUCUUCCAUAUGAUGUAUACACUUUUUCCUAGUAAGUUUAGAAAUUUCUUUAAGGGUUUGUUUGAAUAGCUUAAAUGGAAUUGCCAUUCCUAUUCUUUUGAAUUGGGUUGAAAUUAUAAUUACGGCUUUUCAACAAUACUUUCAAUUUUAUUUGAAAGAAUAAACAAAUAAGUAAAUUCAAAGAACAAUAUAUAAUUAAAGAUAUGCAAUUAUAUUUAUAUACACUCAUCAUACCCCCAUUAUGUGGUAUGUGCUUACACAUCAAAGAAAAAUGAGUCCUACUUCUUCUAUGGCCUUCUAUUACAUAAACUAGUAUCAUGAGAUAUGAGUCCAAAAGAGGUACCAGUUAAACAUAACAUAUUAUACUCAUCCUACUAUAUGGUUAAGAAAUUUCACAAUUAUUAACUUGCACCUCAUUUUCUUCCAUCAUUUGUGAGCACAUAGUAAGCCUACAAAAAUCUGGUUUUUGAUCUACAUUCUCAUAAAAUUUUGCAUAGUUUUUCAACUCGCACUCAUGAGAAUUACCUGCAUAGACUUUUGCAAUGGUGUCUGCCAUUCUGAUUUUUGCUCUGCAAUUUGUGAGACCGACCCAUUCAGUAAAAUACCAAAGAAAGACUGUUGGCAAGGUGGAGACCCUUCUUAUCUUUGGCCCUCAACUUUGAAUUUGCCUGGAUGCUGGUAUACUACCUUUAAGGUCUUUAAGAUUAAGAAUCUACCAUUAAUUGUUUGGUCACCUUAUUCAAUCUCAGUUGCUUCAUUGACACCUAACCUUGUCUCCAGAUAAUGGUCCCCAAAUACUUCCAAUUUUAAACCACCUCUUAAUAAUGACUAGUAUCAAGAUGAGUUUUUAAAAAGCUCAUCAAAUAGAAAACUGAAAUACAUUAUUUUAUAAUGAAAUAAUAUAAGCAAAUGAUGUUAUAUGAUGUGCAUGUACCUUUACUUAAUUUGCCCAAAUAUCUUCACCAUAUUAGUCGAUCCCAUCUAAAACAGAACAGCUUGUGCAUGCAUGGAACUCAAACAAAAUAAUGCUUAUCCCAAGUUUUUAGGGCCAAUGUUGUUAUUUUCUUUAGUGGAAGUGACUUUGUAUAUGUCUUUUGGGGCAUCUAUAACCACAAUAUAUGCAAGGAGCUUUUACUGUCUUGAUCUUAUUGAUGUAAUGGAUCUCAAUAGAUGUAAUAUCUGUGGGAAUGAUGUCUGAUACAAGAAAUGAAUGUGAAACUUGUGGGCUGGUUGUGGUGUUGCUGGUUUUCAAUUUUAGGGAAAUGGAAGGGUAAUGUUUGAAGAUUAUUGUAGACUAAGUACAUUUAUCCAAUGCCAAGUAAAAACAAGGUAAUAUGUAUCAGUAAUAUGUUAUUCUCACUUCCUUGCUGUCUGCUGUUGUUGUUUUUUUCCCUUGGUCAGACAUUAUCAAAUGUUAAGAACAAAUGUUAAGAACAAAUAUGGGUAGUUCAAUAUCCUCCCAAAAAAAAAAAAUUUCAUGUCAAAUGUGGAUAUAUAUGUAGAUAUGUGUAUAUUAUAUUCCUCUAACCCAUUCCAAAAACAAAAGCCUAGAGCAUACAAUGCAUUUGUCAGAAGUAAACUACUAAACUUUUUGAUGUUGCAUUAAUGUCCACUUUUAAUCUAUGGCAUUUGCAAUUUGUUGUGUUGCACUAACUUUGGUUUAAUUCUUCUGCUUAUUUGCUGUCAGUGCUACAAUGGCUAUCUAUGACGUGGUGCAACUUGUUAGAGCUGAUGUUUCUACAGUUGCACUUGGUAUCUCAGCAUCAACAGCUUCCAUAAUCCUUGGUGGUGGCACAAAAGGAAAACGCUUUGCAAUGCCAAAUGCAAGAAUCAUGAUUCAUCAGCCUCUUGGAGGUGCUAGUGGGCAAGCAAUAGAUGUGGAGAUUCAAGCACGAGAAAUUAUGCAUAACAAGAAUAAUGUCAUCAGAAUUAUUUCAGGUUUCACUGGUCGCACAACUGAACAAGUUCAAAAGGACAUUGAUAGAGAUCGCUACAUGUCUCCAAUAGAAGCUGUUGAAUACGGAAUUAUUGAUGGGGUUAUUGACAGAGAUAGCAUCAUUCCUUUGGCUCCUGUUCCAGAAAGGGUAAAACCAACACUCAAUUAUGAGGAAAUGCGAAAAGAUCCAAUGAAAUUCUUGACGCCAGAUAUCCCUGACGAUGAGAUAUACUAGCUUGUGCUAUUUGCUACGAGGUACCUCACUGUUCCUUUUAAAAAUUCAAUAACUUGGGGGGUCCUUUAUUCUUCCCAAACCAGGAUCCUUUGGAAGGUUAGAAUAACAUAAAACUGAUUUUCAAACUGAUUUUGCAUUUUACAAGCAAUUACUUGUCUGUUUCUUCUUUAGAUGUUGAAAGGUAUCUGGUGAUAUUUCUGCAGGCUGGCUCUCAAUGUGUUUCGUUGGAAAAGACAACUGGGGUUUGUGAUUAACACCCUACCAAAUGCAUUUGUGUGAUAUUUUGCUGAUAAUGGUUUUCAAGAAACCUACUGGACAGCCCAGCAUCAUAGCAAGAUUGCAAAACUCAAAUGAGGCCUUUUUUUGUUUUUUUUUUAUAAUUAAGAUGUAACAUUCACUGUAGACUUUUGAAAUUAUUGCAAACUUACCAUUGAAUUGAUCUUGGAAGAAAAUGUGGGAUUUUGAUUUAUAAUUGACCAAAAUUUAUAACUUUUAUUUAAAUAGAAUAAUAAAUAUAUUAUUAAAAGUAAAUAGAAAAAAAAAAAAAAGCAAUAUAAAGUAAAAAUUUUAUAGAGGGAAGAGAGAAGAGGUAUUUAAAAAUAGUUAGAAACUCAUAAUACUAAAAUAAUUAAUUUUUAAUUAAUUUUUUCAGUGUUGAGAGCAAAAACUUUAUAAUAUAUUUUUGAAAACUUUGUUAAAAAAAAAAAUUAAAAAUAAUAAUAUUGGCUCCUCUUCUCCAAAUCCCUGUGAAAUGUGCACUGUUGAUUAUGUCAUCAACAAAAAGUUACAAUUUGUUUUAUAAAAUAAUAAUAAUAAUAAUAAUAUUGCCGGCUUUCUCUCUAUGAAUAAUAAUUAAUUUAAGUAAAUAUUCCAUCGAAUUAUGCUUCUCAAUCGCUUCUUUUUGUUGUAAUUCAACCUUCUAACCACUAAAGUCAUGAUUUCGGCUGCCGACAAAUCGCUGGUCAAACCCUAUUUUUUACUAAUUUAUUUAUUUUCAUAAAUUAAAUAUUCGUACACUACAAAUUCUCUUUACUUAAUAAAAUAAAAUAAAAUAUAUCAUAGUAAAAUUUAUAUAAAUAAUAAUUUUUAUUUAUCUUUCUUUAUUAUCCUAAAAUUAUUAUUCAUAUUCUUUUCUUAUAUUAUAAUAAUAUAUAAAUCAACUAUUAUAAUUUCAUUUAAUUUUAUAUUAUUUUUAAUAAAUCUCUCAAAAUUUUUUUUAAUAUAUAAUAAAAUUUAAUAUUUUUAAGAGUAAUAUAAUUAAAAAAUAAAAUAAACAAAUUAUAGAACGAAAGGAAGUAUGGAUUCAAAUUCAAUUUGGUGGUAUUAGUUAAUAAUAUAUUAAUUAGGGUUAAAUUUUAAUUAUAUAAAUAAUAUAUAAAACAUAAUAAAAUUCAGCAGAUUAGAUGUAUAAAUUUGGAUAAUUAGAGAGUUUUCAGUCAAGGGCCUCGUUCGCGAAUCAAUAGAGAUUAAAAUUAAAAUCAAAUCAAACUGAUCUUAAAGAUAAAUUAAAUUUAAUCAAAUCGAUCUAAUUUAAUUUAAUUUAAUUCAAUUUUAUCAUUAAAUUUUUAAUAAUUUUUUUUAUUUUUUAUACCUCAUUUUAAUAUUUUAACUUUAAUUAUUAUAUAAUCUCUUUAUAUUAUAAGAAAUACUAUAUUAUUAUUACUAAUCGGUUUUACUUAAUUUUUUUAAUUUUUUUUUUAUCAAAAUCAAAUCAAAUCAAAAUAAUUGAACUAAAAAAUGAAUUGAAUUGAGUUAAAAUAAAUAAAAAAUUAAAUUGAAUUUUUAAAUUAAUUUAAGUCAGUAAUUUUUUUUAAUUUAAAACAAAUACUAUUUUAUUUUUUUUUGUUGAUGGAGUAAAUAAAAGGGUGAAGUGCCAAAUGCCCUCUCUAGUUUCUCUCCUUUUCACAUAAUGGAGCAUUCCACUAGAGACAAUAAGUUUCAAAUAAGUUUAGUCUUGGUUGGGAAUUGAGAUUUUGAGUCAAAAUUACUAAAAUUAUUUUUAAAAAUUGUAUUUAGGUUUUUAUUAUGUUUCUGCUUAGAAGCAGUCUCAAGUAAAUGGACAACUUUGACUCUAUCAUGGAGAUUCACUUAAUAUAUAAACAUGAAUGUGAAUAAUUUAAAAAAAAAAAAAGUAUACUCUACAUUCAUAACCAUUUUAACUUGGUUAUUUUUAUGUUUUUAUUUUUUAUUUUUUAUUCUCCUUUUAAAAUUAAAAAUUUUAUAAAAAUUUAAAAAAUUUAAUUUAAGGGGGUAAUGAAAAAAAAUUCAAAAAAAAUUAAAAUAGAAAUUUAAAUUAUAAUAAGAUUAAUUUAACAUAUUAUAAUACUGUUAUUAUUAAUAAUAAAAAUAUAUAAAAUUAUAAGAAUAUAAAUCAUAGGCUACCGUACGACGCUGGUGUAUAUGAGUAAGACAGAUGGUUGUUUAGGUACACCACAUUCAUACGCAAGACGUUCCCCUAAACAUGAAAGCGCCAUCUCAACGACACUCAUUUUUCCCUUUUUUUAAUUAAGUAAUUAGGAAGUAAUUAAUUAUUUAAUUAUAAUAUUAAUUUUUUAGAAAAAAAUCUCAACCGUUAAAGUCAUAAUAAAAGAAGAAGACAAGUAGAUAAUACAUUGGAAUCUUAAGCCCAACUUCCCAUUGAUACCAUAGAUUAAUAUUAUUAAGAGUUUUUUUUUUAAUAUUUAAAAAUUUCUAGAACAUUUGUUUUAUAUUUAUUUUUUAAAAUUUUUACUUAGUGACAUAGCUGGAAAAUAGAAUUUCACACUAAUUUACUAGAAUUCUAGAAUUUUUAUUUUUGAAAUAGAGAUUGAAAAUUGGAUAAUAAAAUUUGAGAUCUCUCAAAUUUAUUUAAUUUUUAUAUUUUUAAAAUCAAACACUUAAAUCACUAUGUAUUCUAUCCGUCUAAAUUAAAAGUUUUUAUUUAUAAUUUCGUUACUCAAUGAAUUAAAAAAAGAAUAAUUAUUUUAAAUAUCUAAAAUAUUAUUAUAAAUAUUUAAAUUCGUGAAUAAUUUUAUAUUGUAUAAAUCGGUCCUUAUAUUUUUAAAAUUAAAUCUUUAAAUCCUUUUAAAAUUACAGUGGAUGAUCAAAUUUCUUCCGAAAAUAUAAUAUUUUUUUAAAAUACUCUAUAAAAAUUUAUAAUCUAUUUAAAAAUUAUUUUGUACCACUUAAAAAUAGUUGAUAUUAUAAGUAUUUUUUGAAAAUUUUGAAAUUGUAAAUAUUGAAGUAUUUUAAUAAAUAAAAAUUAAAGAAUUUUAACAAAGUUAAAGAUAUUAUAGAUAAAAGUUAAUAGAGAUUUAAGUAUUAUUUUAAAUAAAAAAUUAAGAUCAAAAUAUUUAAAUUAUAAUAGAUGAGAACGAAUUGAUUAUAAAGAAAUUUAGGUGUACGCAUUUGAAAAUAUCGGAAUUAAUUUAUUAAUUAUGCUAAAACUCAAAGUAUUCAAAUAUAGUUUAUCCAUUUAAAGAAAGGUAAUAAAGAAUUUCUACAAUUUUAGUAUAAAAAUAGAUGAAAAAUCUCUAAUUUAGACCAAUUGAUUAUAAAAAAAUUUAAAUAUUUGGUUGCAAUGUUAAAAUUUAAAAAUUAAAAUAUAAUUUACCUUAUAUUUUAUAUUUACCCUAUAUAAUAAAUAUUUAUAACAAAUGAAUUUAUAUUUUAUAAAAUAUCAAAAACUUUAUUUCUUAUUAAUAAUAUUAAAUAAAAUAAAAUACCAUAUGAUUUAAUUAUAAAAUUUUAUUUUGUUUCAUAUCUUAAAUAUAAAAGUGGUAAUAGGUAAAUAAUAAAAUUAAUAAAAAAAUAUAUAUUAUUGAAAUAAAAAUAUUUAUAUUAAUUACUAUUUUAUUAGUUAAAUAAAAUUUUAAAAAUUAUAUUAUAACUUAAUAUUAAUUUAUUCUUAUCAUCGUAAAUUCAAAAGUUUGAUUUUAUUUUUAAAAAUUUAAAAAUUUAAUAUAAAUAUAAAAAUUAAUUUAAAUAUAUUAUUUUCUAAAAAAUUAUUCAAAAUAAAAAAAAAUACUAACUAAACAUAAAUAAUUUUCAAAAGCCAGUUACUGCAAUUAUCACACAAAUUUUAUUUUAUUUUUUCUCCAUGGAUGGCAGUUUGAUUUCAUGUUAUAAUUUUUCCAGGUCUAGUCUCCGAGGUCAAACUAAUGAGAGCUGUAUAUAUAUUGAACCAUUAGCUGACUGGGGCUAGAGAGAUUGUCUUUAUUCAUAAAUUUCAUCAAUGGGAAAUUUCUUUGAAGAAAAAGAAUCUCUGUAACACGUCAAAGAUUGUAGCACCAAGUGGUUAUAGUUGUUGAUAAUUAAAUCUUUGAUUCAUUUGUAUACACAAGUGAUUCUGACAAAAAGGCGAUUCAAAGAUGAUCAUGAUGAUGAUGAUGAUUCAUUUGUAAAGCUUCAACAGAAGAGGAGUGACGAUUUUGAAGGAGAAGGGAUGGGAGAGGGAAAAGGGUUUGCAUCAGAAAUGUAUAGAAACACAAGUGAAGAGUUGUUUCUGAAAUCUUUGAUGGAUAGCUCAGUGCCAACCAUGGAGAUGUUGGGUUUUAAGAAUAUUUCUUCUUCUCAUCCUCACAACUUUCGCACGGAUAGUGAAGAGCUCUUCAAAAGCUGGCUUACUAAUGGAGAGGCAAGCCAAAACCGAUAAUCUUCUUCUUCUUCUUCUUCUUUUUAAAAUUUAAUUUCAGACCUAAUCCAGUGUUGUUCUUCAACAACCUAGUCAUCCAUACACCUUUUUUUCAAUGUUUUAUUCUAUGGGUUUUGGAGGAGAGGGGGAAAAAAGAAUUGGAUUCUUUGGAUUAACACUAUGAUGGAACCAAGAACAUUGUGGUUUGUUUAGGAAAAUGAGUUUGUUAUUUGUCUAAUUCUUGUAUUAUUUGAUGUGUUUUGUAUGCACUAAACUCAAAAAAUUCUUUAGUUUUGUAUUUUUUUUUUCUUCACCUGAAGGUGUACUAGUUGUGCUAAUCACAGUUCAACAAAUGGUUUUUGUUAUUGGAAGGAUAUGAGUCACAAAUAUUUAGAAAUCAUACUUUUUCAAAAAAAAGGAAAAAAAGGAAAACAAGUGUUAUUCAGAAAACUAUGAUUUUCCCUUGAUGAAUGAAAUACAAGCUAUAGUCCAAUAUAAAUUGUUAUUUUUGCAGCAUUUGCAGUAUAGAAAUAAAAUUGCCCUUAUUCUCAUAUACUCCUUUCUUUCUUUUCUUUGGAAAUUUUUUUUUCCCCAACUGAUGGGUUCAUAUUUCAGAAUCAUGGCUAUAAUUCCUCAAGCAUAGCACAUCGAACCCGGCAAGCAUCCAGGAGGUGAGUAGAUUGAACUGAUAAAUCCUGACAUAGAACAACUCAUUGAUAUUGUGCUACUUGAGAUUUGUUUGGUAUUAGAUAUAGGAUGAUCGAUCUUAUUUGGAAUCAUUUUCUGUGUUAAAUCAUAUGCUAACACUGAGACUAGCAUGUUGUGGGAGUCAAGGGUGAAUAAUCAAUUAGAUUAGUUAAAAUAUCUUCAUUAUUCAUCAGAAUUCUCCUGAUAAUAUUGCAGAAAAUUAAAUAACUGUAUUACAAUUGCAGGAUAUCUACUGAACUAGCCACUUUGACAAGCCAGCAGCCUGGAAGUUCACUGCAAAAGAAAAGAAGCAAUGAUGUAUUAUUUACUCAAAAUAACACAAUCCCUGAUGGAACCUCUAGUGACCUCAACAUCAGGUGGCUACUUCAUCUUUCUGCUGUCUUCUAUUACAUAUGACUAAUUCUCAGUUGAAACUUAUUCUGAUUUAUCUUUUUUACUUUUUUGGUUGCAAUUGUCAUAGGAAUGCUGUCGAAAGAAGUAUGCAGGCUAGUAAUUUAUAUCUGGCCAAGGUUAGUUUUAGUUUGUCUGCAGAAUCUUCGUUAUAUCUGAUAUCUGAAUAUCUUAUCCUCUCUUUAAUGGCAGGCCUGGUUUCAUAGUUCUCAACCGAUGACAAGAAGUCGAUCCUCUGAACUGCGGUAUCAGCAUUGUAAUACACAAGCCCAUUACAAGUAUAUCCAAUGCAAACUUUGGUUAAUUAUCUAUUUGUUUUUGCAGGAAGAGGUAUGCCGCUAUGCAAAGUGCUCAGACAAGUUUAGGGAAUGGUGUAAACGAUUUGAAACAAGAGUUUGCAGAUCCAAAUGGUUUUAUUGAGCUUCCUAUGCAUGACAUUGGCAAUCAAUUGGGUUCAUUCAUGUCUCCAUCCAAUUCAUCUUCAUCUACUUUCAACACCCCACAAAUGGGAGAUGCAGAUAAAGUUUCUUCUGUUGUGAACAUGCUUAAGGGUACGCUGGAACGCAAGAAGCUCAGCAAUCAGAAGAUUGAGAAAGAAGCUGUUGAAGAUAGUUCUAAUGCAAUUUAUCAUGAUCAGCAAGUUAUUAUGAACUCUCCUUUUGAUCAAGUAAAUGGUAACAGCAUUUAUGAAAUUCCACAAACUUUCCAAGAAAUUUCAUCUGACCAAGUCAAGGACGCUGGAGGGUUUCAAACAGUUCAGGGACCCAUAGAUCUUGACCUGGAAGGUUUUGUACAUCCUACAAAUGCAAUUCAGUUGUGCACAGUUUCUAGAGAACCUUCUCAAAGUGAAUCUUCUGCUGCUGCACCAGUAUUUUCCUCUGGUUUUGAUGCAUGUGAUGGUCCCAGCAAUUCCAGCCAAACUCUAAGCAUUUGUGAGAGCUCAAGGAAACAAGUAGGAAACAAUACAAGUCCAGAGAAUGGACCUAAAGCCAAAGGUAAAUGCUUCAUAUGGGGAUGGAUGUAUCUAAUCAACUUAACUAUCCAUUAGGGAAAAUUAUUAUUUGGUUCCUGUAUUACAAGGAAAACUUACUAGUUAGUCUCUCAGUUUUGAUAUAUUAAUAUAUUCUUAAGGUUUUAAAAAGUUUAUUAUUAGUUAGUCCGUUAAUUUAAACCGUUAAAUAUUAUAAAAAAAUUUAAAAUAUCCUCAAUAUGGAGAGACUAAUUAAUCGACUUUUUACAAAAUUAAGGAAUUAACUAAUAAGUUUUUUCAAAUUACAGAGAUUAAAUAGUAAAAUAUUUAACAAUUAAAAUUAACAGAAAGACUAAUUAGUAGAUUUUUAAAAUCUCUAAUGUAUUUUUUAAAAUUGAGAGAUCAACUAAUGAGUUUUUCAUAAUAUAGGAACUAAAUAGUAAAUUUUCUUUAUUUUAUUUUAAUUUAUCAUAACAACCUGAAGCCAUGGAUCUUGCUUCUUUAUUCUUUUUUAUUCUCUUUUUUUUUUUUCUUUGGAUCUAUCAGGUUCUGAAUAUGAAUCAUAAGCAGAUAAAAUAUAACCUCCAAGCCUUGACCAGAAAUGAUUAUCCGCAUAUACAUGAAGUUCAUAGAAUAGGAUUGAUGACAACUCUUUUGGGCAUCUGAAAGAUAGUUGUUGUUUUGUCUUCUUUAUCGUUUUGAUUUGGCAUUUGAGUGUUAUGUGAUUCAAGCAUCUUACAUUUGAAAUGCAGAUUUUCGAGAACGGAUAAUUGAAAACUUGAAGGAUGACAGAAAGGUAUUCCACUUUCUCAGAUGGUGAAUCAAGAAUUUUUAAUAAAUCUUGAAUAGUUUGCUGAUUUCCUGUUAUUUUGUUUACUGUUUACUUGUAAUCUGUCUUAAGAGGGGAGGGCUAGUUCGAUAUGGAUCUGUGACAUCAGGAGGUUCAGGUAAUCUAUAUAUCUUUAGAACUUUAACAGCAUGAUAUUUUUCUAUCCACAUUAGCUGUUAAUGAGUUCAAUCUUAAACCCUGUCAUUCUAUAUGAACAUGGAAAACAGUGGCCUACUGAUUUGUGCUCGAGUUCAAAUUGCUAUGCAUGUUCAAACACAAGCCAAAUAUGACUCAUUAUUAGAGGUGUAUCUUUAUUUUGGGUGUCUGAAAACUCUUAUUUUGAAUUUUUUUUUUUUUUAAUCUUUUGCUUGUUAACUUAUUAUUCUUUCCAUACAGAAUGUUUAUUACAGUAACCAAGUACUGUAUAAAAAUUACCAAUUGUGCAGAUGAAGUUACUGUUAGUUCUUACUUCUUAGUUGUUACAAAAUCAUAUGAUCCUUUUUGACCAAUCGAAGUUAUGCAGUGGACAAGAGUGACACAACUAAAAAGCGUAGGGUGGAGCGCUCACGAAAGUAAGCUAAACUGCAUCCUUUUGUUUUGCAAGUUCAUUAUUUUAGAAUAAUUUUCAUGUUCUCUGCUUCUGUAAUCGUUUGGAUACAAGAAUCUUGGUACUUAGGAUUUCAAGAAUUUUAUGUAGAAGACAUAAUCAGGUUAAGGACAGUUAACAAAACAGAAUAAAGAUACUCCAAUCCCUGGAAAGUGUUGUAUGUAGGCCAUUAAGAGGAAUCCAAUCUAAACUAUACCAAAUCAGGUUAGUAGAACUUAUGCAAGCCAAUAAGGCGAUUAGCAUUCAAGUCAAAUGGGAGCAGAACCAUCUACUAAGAUACAAUUAGCCAGUUAAUUAUCAGAACACCAGAAACUAGAUGCCUGAAAGCCGUACUAGGAUGCAUCGUGGAUCCAGACUGAGGAACCUUCUGCCUGGAGAUUCUGGAGGCAUGCAGCUUUACUUCCAGUGCGAAAAUAUUACAUGGUAGAAUCAGACUCGGUAAAAUUUUGAGUGGGUAGUAAGCUUUUCCCCUUUUAGGAGUGCCUUUAAUUUGUUUCUCGCCGGUUACCCUUAUAGGUGAGCAUGAAGUUGUAUAUAAUUAUAUGGUUAAACCGGAUUCAUGUUAUUCUAUUCAUUGGAAGUGGGAAGGAGAUGUUGCGAUUUAAACCCUUAUACGGGUUCUUAAUCAUUGUGCUAUUAUUCCAAUAUGGCUAAAAACAAAUUUGAGUUGAACAUUGUAAAAGGAAAUGUUUCUUUGAGAAAGCUUUUCUCUUAAGCUAAAUAUCUUGGUGAUGCAGAAUGGCAGAGGCAAAGGAAAGGAAUUUAAUACCAGCAAUUCCAACUGAUAUGCAAUCUGUCUUGAAGCGCUGCGAAAAUCUUGAGAAGGAAGUUCGAUCGCUAAAGCUUAACUUGUCUUUCAUGAAUAGGUAAUGACUUAAACCAAAGAUUAACUGUGCACUUGCACCCUAAACUCUUAAAAAACAAAAAGAACUUGAAAAUUUUGCAGAGUUUGCAAUUAAUUUAUGAAUUUCAGGAAGGAUUCUGAACAGACAAAGCAGAUAGAAGAGCUUCAGAAAAAGAAUGAAGAGUUGGCUGAUGAGAAGGAAAGGCUACUUGAAGAGAUUGAAAGAAUCCUUUCAGAAACAGGGAAAAUGUGAAACUUGUUCAUCAUUCAACUAAAUCUUCCACCUCAUAUAUUGACAAAAAAAAAANNNNNNNAAAAAAAAAAAAAAAAAAAAAAAAAAAUCUACCACCUCAUACACUCUGUGAAGUAAACAAGAAACUCUCAGGCACAGAUCUUCAGAAAUUAUCAGUGGUCUUCAUGUUUAGGAAUCAAGAACAAGAUGAACUUAAAGACUGGCCUUCAUAUAUUCCAGUGCAGGUGGAGUGGGGGUGACUUGUUUGCUGAUCCAAUGUGUAUGGAUUUUUAUUUUUAUUUUUUUCAAAUUCUGGAUGGGAUAACAAAUUUACAUAUGAACAAGGAGUGUAAAUUUCAAAUUUGGAAGCUAUACUGUUGCCAUUGCUG